CCUACGGGAGGCAGCAGUGGGGAAUUUUGGACAAUGGGCGCAAGCCUGAUCCAGCCAUGCCGCGUGUGGGAAGAAGGCCUUCGGGUUGUAAACCACUUUUGUCAGGGAAGAAACGGCUUUUUCUAAUACAGAGAGCUAAUGACGGUACCUGAAGAAUAAGCACCGGCUAACUACGUGCCAGCAGCCGCGGUAAUACGUAGGGUGCAAGCGUUAAUCGGAAUUACUGGGCGUAAAGCGUGCGCAGGCGGCUUUGCAAGACAGAUGUGAAAUCCCCGGGCUCAACCUGGGAACUGCAUUUGUGACUGCAUGGCUAGAGUACGGUAGAGGGGGAUGGAAUUCCGCGUGUAGCAGUGAAAUGCGUAGAUAUGCGGAGGAACACCGAUGGCGAAGGCAAUCCCCUGGACCUGUACUGACGCUCAUGCACGAAAGCGUGGGGAGCAAACAGGAUUAGAUACCCUGGUAGUCCACGCCCUAAACGAUGUCAACUGGUUGUUGGACGGCUUGCUGUUCAGUACGAAGNUAACGCGUGAAGUUGACCGCCUGGGGAAGUCGGCCGCAAGGUUGAAACUCAAAGGAUUGACGGCNGNGAGNGCGAGCGACGACGAGGAGGAGG
rnacentral:rRNA from 1 species